UCCAGGCCCAGAAUGUCCUUAACUCAGCAUC
rnacentral:piRNA from 1 species